GCCGGGCAUGGUGGUGCAUGCCUGUAGUCCCAGUUACUUGGGAGGCAGAGGUGGGAGGAUAGCUUGAGCCCAGGAAGUCAAGGCUGCAGUGAGCCAAGAUCGUGCCACUGCACUCCAGCCUGGGCGACAGUGCAAGACCCUGUCUAAA
rnacentral:SRP_RNA from 1 species